rnacentral:lncRNA from 1 species
GGUCUGGCACUCCUCUAGUGUCUUAUGAUAAAUAAGCAUAUCAUCCCACUUGUUGGACAUACGGAACUCGUCGUCCCCGAAGAAGUCCCUCACUUCCUCCGGUGUAGCGUUCUCAAAGAUACUGCUACUCUGGUACUGUGGAGGCCCGGUCUAAAUUCAUCCAAAUAAAAUUCAAUCAUGACAUGAACACGAAAUUAAGCAAAAAGAAUAAGCACAGGACACUAAGGUUCUUGAAAAUCCGUUCACCUGCGUAUCCCUCCUCCACGCCUGGUAGGUCAUGGUGGGCAGCGAUUUCUCCAUCAUCUUGAUCCAGGCCGGGCCGCCGU